rnacentral:rRNA from 1 species
GACGAACGCUGGCGGCGUGCCUAAUACAUGCAAGUAGAACGAGUUGCGAACGGGUGAGUAACGCGUGGUAACCUGCCUCAUAGCGGGGGAUAACUACUGGAAACGGUAGCUAAUACCGCAUACCAUCAGAUUUGCCCCGAUGGGAUUGGCUUGUUGGUGGGUUACCGGCUCACCAAGGCGCCGCUCCCUAGCUGGUCUGAGAGGAUGACCAGCAACACUGGAACUGAGACACGGUCAAGACUCCUACGGGAGGCAGCAGUGGGGAAUAAUGCACAAUGGGCGCAAGCCUGAUGCAGCCAUGACGCGUGUAUGAAGAAGGCCUUCGGGUUGUAAAGUACUUUCAGCGGGGAGGCGUUACCCGCAGAAGAAGCACCGGCUAACUCCGUGCCAGCAGCCGCGGUAAUAC